UACAGAGGGUGCGAGCGUUAAUCGGAAUUACUGGGCGUAAAGGGUGCGUAGGCGGUUUUUUAAGUUAGAUGUGAAAUCCCCGGGCUUAACCUGGGAAUUGCAUUUAAGACUGGAGAGCUAGAGUAGAGUAGAGGGAAGUGGAAUUUCCGGUGUAGCGGUGAAAUGCGUAGAUAUCGGAAAGAACAUCAGUGGCGAAGGCGGCUUCCUGGACUCAUACUGACGCUGAGGCACGAAAGCAUGGGGAGCAAACAGG
rnacentral:rRNA from 1 species